rnacentral:misc_RNA from 1 species
GAUGAAGAACGUAGCGAAAUGCGAUAAGUAAUGUGAAUUGCAGAAUUCAGUGAAUCAUCGAAUCUUUGAACGCAUCUUGCGCUCCUUGGUAUUCUGAGGAGCAUGCCUGUUUGAGUGUCAUUAAAUUCUCAACUACACUGACAUUGAAUUGGUGUGGCUUGGAUUUGGGGGGAAAAUUGUUGUGGGCUUUUUGUAUAGUCUGCUCCCCUGAAAUUGAUUAGCGGUACCUUUGUGGAACUGUCUACGGGUGUGAUAAUUAUCUACAUCUUAGACAUCUGCUGGAAUGCUGCUUUCUAAACCUUACUUGUAUUGACAAUCUUGACCUCAAAUCAGGUAGGACUACCCGCUGAACUUAAGCAUAUCAAUAAGCGGAGGA